rnacentral:rRNA from 1 species
GACGUAGGAUGCAAGCGUUAUCCGGAAUCACUGGGCGUAAAGCGUGCGCAGGUGGUUUGUUAAGUCUGAUGUGAAAGCCCUGGGCUCAACCUGGGAAUUGCAUUGGAUACUGGCAGGCUAGAGUGCGGUAGAGGAUGGCGGAAUUCCCGGUGUAGCAGUGAAAUGCGUAGAGAUCGGGAGGAACAUCUGUGGCGAAGGCGGCCACCUGGACCAGCACUGACACUGAGGCACGAAAGCGUGGGGAGCAAACAGG